rnacentral:rRNA from 1 species
UAGGGAAUAUUGGACAAUGGGCGAAAGCCUGAUCCAGCGACGCCGCGUGGGUGAUGAAGGCCUUCGGGUUGUAAAGCCCUGUGGGGAGGAGAGAAAAAGGUGCGGGUUAAUAUCUUGUGCCCUUGACGGUACCUCCUUAGCAAGCACCGGCUAACUCUGUGCCAGCAGCCGCGGUAAGACAGAGGGUGCAAACGUUGCUCGGAAUUACUAGGCGUAAAGCGCGUGUAGGCGGACCGGUAAGUCAGGUGUGAAAGCCCUGGGCUCAACCCAGGAACUGCACUUGAAACUGCUGGUCUUGAGUGGUGGAGAGGGAAGUGGAAUUCCUGGUGUAGAGGUGAAAUUCGUAGAUAUCAGGAGGAACACCGGUGGCGAAGGCGGCUUCCUGGACACCAACUGACGCUGAGACGCGAAAGCGUGGGGAGCAAACAGGAUUAGAUACCCCUGUAGUCC